rnacentral:lncRNA from 1 species
CACAAAUACUCUCUUCACCCACUGCUACACGGUCGACCACCUCCUUGCCAAAUCCACCACCAUCGCUAGCUUCACCACCACCAAAACCACCCAAAUCCCCAACACCAACAAGACCACCACUACUCAAACAACUAAAAAAACACCACCACCACCAUUACCCACACUACCGCACCACAACAACAACAAAAAAAACCACCACCACCAAUACCCACACUACCGCACCACCACCAUCAUUGCAAAAUUGUAUCCAUCCAAACCUAACAAAUCAGAAAACACACCUCUGCUCACUCAAACCUCGCCUGGCCACCACCACAUACCUUUAACAAAAUCGUUGUCAAUCAUCCUAGUCCACCAAUAUUCUUCACCCCGCCGACAGCACUCAAGCACAAAUCUAUCCACCCUCAUCUUCAUCAACAAUCCCAUAGCCCCAACCAAUCAACAAUCUCAAGAUCCAGUCACCGAACCGUCACCUAAUGCCUGUGCCACCACCAACACCACCUGUAAAAACACCACCGCAACCCACCACUGAAUCACCACCACCCCUGCAAAGUUCACAACACAAUCAAUCACCAACAAAAACACCCAAACUCGGGUAAAGAUACAGAUCGAUUGGAGAAAUCAUAGUUCGCUUCGUGCAUCGCUUGCCGUCGGUAGAUAGAUUGUUCCGACAGCGUCGUUUCCAACAGAGAGAGAAAGGCGAGAAUGUAUAGAGAGAGAUAGAGGCAAGAAUGUAGAGAGAGAGACUCUGACAGAGAGGUGAGGAGAGAGAGAGAGAGAAUUGAGGGUGAAUGAAAGAAAU